rnacentral:rRNA from 1 species
GGAAUAUUGGACAAUGGGCGAAAGCCUGAUCCAGCAAUGCCGCGUGAGUGAUGAAGGCCUUCGGGUUGUAAAGCUCUUUUACCCGGGAUGAUAAUGACAGUACCGGGAGAAUAAGCUCCGGCUAACUCCGUUCCAGCAGCCGCGGUAAUACGGAGGGAGCUAGCGUUGUUCGGAAUUACUGGGCGUAAAGCGCACGUAGGCGGCUACUCAAGUCGGGGGUGAAAGCCCGGGGCUCAACCCCGGAAUAGCCCUCGAAACUAGGUAGCUAGAAUCUUGGAGAGGCGAGUGGAAUUCCGAGUGUAGAGGUGAAAUUCGUAGAUAUUCGGAAGAACACCAGUGGCGAAGGCGACUCGCUGGACAAGUAUUGACGCUGAGGUGCGAAAGCGUGGGGAGCAAA